CCUAUGAUGAAAAUUACAGGCCUCAUCUUUUUAAGUGGGAGAACUUGCACAAUUGGUGGCUGACUAAAUAUUUUUUUGCCCCACUGUACAUGCAUACAGUACUGUACAAAAGUGUUAGGCACAUGUACAAUUCUGUAAAACACAUAUGUUUCUAAAUUAAAAAAAAAAAAUACUAUGAAGGAACAUUUUCUUAUUUCACCUUCUCUUAUAUCCAGAGUGGCAGGUGAAAUAUUUACAGCGAGCCUUGAACAAAGUGGAACGUCUCCACGAUUUAUGCAGGAGUGGUGUUACCACUAUCUGGUGACCGGGACCCUGAAGGACCUAACAAAGGGUAGUGUACAUGACACAGAGUUGUCCCCAUUCAUCGAAACGAGACAUUUUGCUGCAUUUAACCACAAAACGUACAGCGAUGCUUCAGCAGCUGCAUGAAGGCCUUGAAGUCUACAUCUUAAUUGAGGUCAUGCAGAAGAAACCGAAGGAAUGUCUCAAUCUCUUUGUGAUUGGCGAUGAUGACAUGGUUGAUGCACACUACAUAAUCUCAAACCUGGCCCCAGAGAUGAGUGAAUGUGGUUCUCCAAAACAAAAGGAGACAGAAAUCUUGGAUUUCUUUCAAGAUUUCCUCCAAGAACUUGAUGAUGGAAAAGUGAGCCUCUCUGUGGCUGAAGGCAAUGGAGAGAAGGAAGACAGUGGAGAGAAAGAAGACAGUGGAGAGAAAGAAGACAAUGGAGAACCACUUUCUGUUCCCAGUGUAAUGCAGUGGCUGACAGGGCAGCCACACACACCUGCUUGUCUCAGAGAGAGAAAAGUUCAAGAUAGUGGUCAUUUUUGACUACUCAUGUCUACAACGCAUGCCUAACCACACUUUGUUACCCUGUUGUUAGUACAUACACCAAAACGAUAACAUUUCCCACAGCCCUCUGAGAGAUUACGAUGCAUUUAAAUCAAACACUGAAACAACAAUCAAAUACGUUGCAAGGUUUGAUAGAGUGUAGCUGAAAGACUACUCAAUUUAACUGACUAAUAAUCCACAUACAGUACAUUAUGUUCCUGUGUAAAGAAGUCAAAUCUUUCUAGCUUUAUUUUUGGAUUAAUGCUUAAAUGUACAUCCUUGACAACUGUGAUUUAGAUCUUUUUUUUAUUUUAUUAACCUCUUUCUACUCAGAGCAUUCAUAGGAAGAUGGUAGACUGCAGCGAUAGCUCAGAGAUCUAAACACUGGAGGGAUGAAUGGACUAUUGGAAAUAGUCAGAGAGACUGAUAUAGUAUUUGGGCUUUUGUAAAGUUUUUGCAUUAUGUUUUAUACACGGGUCUUAGGCUAUACCUUCAAACACCAAAACCUUAGGUGGCUCCAUUGCUAGUGAAGAGUGUUACACUGUAUCAACAAAAUGUGUUUUUUGUAUCAUCCUAGUCCAUGGGAAUUAUGUAAAUGAAAUGACAUACAAUUCACUCAUUUUCUGGUCCUUGUCAACAUACAGUGUUCCAGAUGUACUGCAACUACUUUAGUGUAUCAUCGGUUCUCUUCCCUUUAAUAUGUGAUUCUUUCUGUUUUUAUUCUUUAUUUUGUUUAACAAGUGCCUGAAGCUGUUCUAUAUACAGUAGACCUAUGGUGGCCAAAGACUCCAUUUUAGUAUAGUGUACACCAGGUGGUAUAGAAUACAAGUAUAUAAACUUUAUCCAAAUGCAAUGUAAUAGAUCAAUUUAUCUCCGGGCUUGACGUCUAUCUUAUUGAGAGAUUCUUUAAGCUAGCAUUAUACACAAGUAAAGGUGCUAGGUCUGUCUUUAUGUUAUUAAUUUGUAGUACUGUAUCCUGUAACCACCAGAGUCUACACCUCUGGAGCUCAGAAAUGAUGAAGAUAACACUGAGACAGUGCCACUCUGUUAGACAGGAAUUUGGUGCUGAAGUACAAUAAUACUUUACAAGUCCUUUUGAUUACCCAAGGUUCAUUUGUAUGCAGCAAGGGAUGGAAGGUUUUAUUAAAAUGUACAUUUAAGGGAUUUUUCAGUUGCUCAUUUUUAUAUUUUGACAUGACAAAGUUGUGUAUUUGUGGAUCUACUGUAUUGGUGUUUACAUAAUUGUACUAACCACCGUUCACUGAGCUCUGUGUCACUGUAACAUUGUUAUGUCACAACCUGCUUUUGAUUUUCAUGUUAAGACACUGGAUGUCAUGUACACUAACUGUAAAGGUGACAGCUCGAUAAAUGAUAUGGGGAGAGAAAGUCACCUCAGGAGCCUUUAUGACACUUAUGGAUUCUUGCACUCUUCUGUAACUGGAUAGUGUUUUAUAGAUCACUGCAUUAUUAGAACGUACUAUAGAUUCACCUCGGAACUUGGAACCCGUUUGCUGUAUGUCCAAUGGUAGAGCCGGGAACAUGUUACAAUUAUUCACGUGAUUAUUUUGACACUGUUAUACUACAUAAUGUUGAUACAUGGUAUUUAUCAGUUUUAUAUGUUCAAAUGUUGGGUUUGUUUUUAGAGAGAAGUGUCAAUUAACAAAGAUGCUUUGUGAAAAAUAAAUACCAUUGGUUUACAAUAAGUUUAAUUACAUUUCAUAAAAGCUCUUUUCAAUGAAUGAAACGAGUUUGUUUACAUCAUACCAAUUAAGAGGUGCUGUUUUCUUUUCCAGCAAAAGAUAUACACAUUUUUGCCAUUGUCAAGAGUGGCACUGGGGCUAAAACAAUAUCCUACAUGG